CCGUGGCAUGUGCUUCCCCCCAACCUUUCACCAAGGACCUACCAUGUGCCAAAGACUAAGCACUGGGGAUAGAAGGUGAACGAGACCGGUGUGGCCCCCCGCCCUGCUCUUGGACCUGCCAAUCUCCAGGGUUUGUUUUCUUGAGACUCCUGACGCUGCCUGGCCCGAGUCAGCACUAGGGAUUCCUGAUCUCUGCAUAUCCCUUCCCAGCCAUCCAAGACAGCAAGAGCUGUUGCUUCUCUUCUCAAAUUUCUCCCUUGGCUUCUUGAUUGAGAGUUUCAUCCCAGCUAUGGUUUAAAAAACAAACAGCAAACAAACAAACAAACUAACCACACACUCAAACAAACCUCAGACUGCACAAUGGAAGCACUGCCUGGAAUCAUAAAGAUCAUUUGUUCAAUGUCCCUUUUUCUCACUGCCAGGCCAGUGCUCUCGUCUGCACCAUGGAACCCAUUAUGACUUGAACCUUUCCAGAUUGAUUCCCCAUAAACCUAAUGAAGACAUUGGAAAGGUACUCCGUGCCAGGCUAUGGGGAUAUAACAUCGAACAAGAUAGACAAGUUGCUCAUCUUCAUGUCUCCAGUGGGGAGACAGACAACGACCAUGGUAAAUAAAUGAGAAUGCA
rnacentral:lncRNA from 1 species